AACUUUUGGCAAUGGAUCACUUGGCUCUCGCAUCGAUGAAGAACGCAGCGAAACGCGAUAAGUAAUUUGAAUUGCAGAAUUCAGUGAAUCAUCGAAUCUUUGAACGCACCUUGCACCCUUUGGCAUUCCAAAGGGUAUGCCUGUUUGAGUAUCAUGAAAUUCUCAACUCUCCUCGGAUUCUGUCUGCAGGUGAGCUUGGACUUGGAGGUUUAUGCUGGCGUUCGCCGGCUCCUCUUGAAAUCAUUAGCUUUGAGUUGAUCUCGAUGGCUUGACCGGUGUGAUAAACAUCUAUGCCGAUUUGUGUCAUCCUGAGCGACGACGUCGGAGACGCUCUGGCUUAUAACUGUCUUCACCGAAGGACGACGCCCCGAACUUUUGACCUCAAAUCAGGUAGGACUACCCGCUGAACUUAAGCAUAUCAAUAAGCGGAGGCU
rnacentral:misc_RNA from 1 species